GCCUGCCUAGCUCAAUCGGCUAGAGCGUCAGACUUUUAUGGCAAAGAGAGUGUCGUUACAUAAUCUGAAGGCUGCGAGUUCGACCCUCGCGGUGGGCU